GCCUAAUCUGCCCAAUGAAAAUUUUAAUGGCUGCAGUAUCAAUAACUGUACAAAGGUAGCAUAAUAAUUAGUUUUUUAAUUAAAAACUAGAAUGAAAGAUUAAAUGAAAUAUAAACUUUAUAAAUAAAAUAAAAAUUAAAAUUAAAUUUUAAGUUAAAAUUCUUAAAUAUAAUUAAAAGACGAGAAGACCCUUUAGAAUUUUAUAUUAAUUUAAAUUAAAAUUAAAAUAUUAUUUAUAUAAAUUUAAACUAAUAUUUAAUUGGGGUAAUUUUUUAAUUUCAUAAACUUUAAAAUAAUUAAACAUUAAUUUAUGAAUUUAUAAACCUAAAAUUUAGAAUUUUAAAAUAAAUUACCUUAGGGAUAACAGCGUAAUUUUUUUUGAAAGUUCACAUUUAUAAAAAAGAUUGCGACCUCGAUGUUGAAUUAAGAUUAA
rnacentral:rRNA from 1 species